GAUUGAUUUAAAAAAAAGUAAUCAUCACAGGUAAUGAAACAAAGACAUGAGAUAUAAAUUCCACGUUGUUCUUAUUUUAUCUGACCUAUAUAGCAGGUGUCAUUGUUUUUGCUGACCGUCACAGUAACACUUGAACGCAUCAUUAGCGGGGGAAUCACAGGUGAGGGAGAACUUUGUUGUGAGCUGGGUCGAGCAAGAUGGAGCCGAGGAAAGCUGCUGAUGACGAAGGGGAAUCAGAAAGUCCAACUGAACCAUUCAAAACUAAAACGAGGACUCGCAGAAAGGACUCAUGUGAGGACCUGUCGCUGGCCCAGAGGAAAACCCCCAAGCCUGUGUGUGUGUGUGUGUGUGUGUGUGCGCGCUGAGAUGCGAGCUAACAAGACCCUGGGACCGUGUAAAGUGCGCCGCCAUUUAGAAACUAAACAUGGACAAUAUUUAUCCAAGCCUCGAGCACCUUUUUAAAAAUCCGCCGAGAGAGCAUCGGAGCCAGCUAACACACCCCCCCUCUCAUCGGGAGAUGCACUUGACAAUUCUGACACCGAUCAGGCCUCAUCCACUGAAAAUGACAAUGAGGCAGUUGAAGAAAUGAAGCAGCAUGUACCAAGCCAAGACUCUGUUUCAGAUGGAGCAGACAAUACCUUAAACACUCCUGUUGAUGUUGAAGAUGCCAAGCAGACACAUCCACACUAUGAAGAGGAUAUAUCUGAUGAUCGCUUAUGACAUAUAAGGGAUCCAGACUAUACCCCAUCCUUUGAUGAGUCCUUGUCAUCAAAGGCCAUCCAAGGAUGUCAUAAGCGAUCCAGACUAUUCCCCAUCCUUUGACUAGUCCUUGUCAUCAAAGGCCAUCCAAGGAUGUCAUAAGCGAUCCAGACUAUACCCCAUCCUUUGAUGAGUCAUUUGAAGGUGUGAUCGAAGACCAUCCAGAAACCCAAGGAGAUCAGUCAAACACAGAAAUACCUCUUAUGUUACAUAAUUGACAGACAUUGUUAUUAGUAUGUCAAUAGUCAUCUAUUGUCAUAACCUUUUUGAGUGAAAUUAUUAAUAAAUAUCAUAUAUUCAA